rnacentral:rRNA from 1 species
AUUGAACGCUGGCGGCAUGCCUUACACAUGCAAGUCGAACGGCAGCACGGGUGCUUGCACCUGGUGGCGAGUGGCGAACGGGUGAGUAAUACAUCGGAACAUGUCCUGUAGUGGGGGAUAGCCCGGCGAAAGCCGGAUUAAUACCGCAUACGAUCUACGGAUGAAAGCGGGGGAACUUCGGGCCUCGCGCUAUAGGGUUGGCCGAUGGCUGAUUAGCUAGUUGGUGGGGUAAAGGUCUACCAAGGCGACGAUCAGUAGCUGGUCUGAGAGGGCGACCAGACACACUGGGACUGAGACACGGCCCAGACUCCUACGGGAGGCAGCAGUGGGGAAUUUUGGGCAAAGGGCGAAAGCCUGAUCCAGCAAUGCCGCGUGUGUGAAGAAGGCCUUCGGGUUGUAAAGCACUUUUGUCCGGAAAGAAAUCCUUGGCCCUAAUACGGUCGGGGGAUGACGGUACCGGAAGAAUAAGCACCGGCUAACUACGUG